rnacentral:lncRNA from 1 species
AAGGUGAGGGAUAGCGAAGUAGUAGGUGGCAGAAGGGAGGGUGACGGGGUUUUAUUUAUUUAUUUUUUUAAGGGGAGGAGGGGGUAUCGAUUUUAGGAGGGUAGGAGGUGUGUGCGGUGGCGGAGAUCGAGUGUAGGGUGGGGAGUGUGCGGCGGCAAAGGAUGGAAGAGGCUUGGGUUAGGUAAAGGGUCGAUGGAUUGGGAGGGAAGGGGAGGGCUAGGCCGUGGGCUCGAGUGCGAGAGGGGGUGGGGCAGGACAGUUAGGGGUUGGACAGGGGG